rnacentral:rRNA from 1 species
UACGUAGGGUGCAAGCGUUGUCCGGAAUUAUUGGGCGUAAAGGGCUCGUAGGCGGUCCAUCGCGUCGGGAGUGAAAAGCUGGGGCUUAACCCCAGUCCUGCUUCCGAUACGGGUGGACUAGAGGUAGGUAGGGGAGAACGGAAUUCCUGGUGUAGCGGUGAAAUGCGCAGAUAUCAGGAGGAACACCGGUGGCGAAGGCGGCUUCCUGGACCGAUACUGACGCUGAGGCGCGAAAGCUAGGGGAGCAAACGGG